CACGGGUGAGUAACACGUAUCCAACCUGCCGUCUACUCUUGGACCGCCUUCUGAAAGGAAGAUUAAUACAAGAUGGCAUCAUGAGUCCGCAUGUUCACAUGAUUAAAGGUGUUCCGGUAGACGAUGGGGAUGCGUUCCAUUAGAUAGUAGGCGGGGUAACGGCCCACCUAGUCUUCGAUGGAUAGGGGUUCUGAGAGGAAGGUCCCCCACAUUGGAACUGAGACACGGUCCAA
rnacentral:rRNA from 1 species